CGAACGGUAAGCCCCGGUCGUCGUCCUCGCCGGUGCCCCCACGUCGGAGGCCGGGGAUGGAGAACGCUGUGGUGCCCAGGGAGUGGUUCGACCGUGUCGACGCUGGCCGCACCGAAAAUGUCACCGCUCCUCAGCUCCAGACUCCCACCACCAGAGCGCGCUCGCCGUGGGUAACCUCGAUUUCCCCCUCUCCGUCGUGCAGCAGAUGAUUAGGAUGGACGACUUUGAUUGGAAUGGUACCAUGAGCUUCGAAGGUUAGCUCUCACAAUUCUUAUAUGCAUUGUAAAUAUAGAGCUGCUAGAAAUCUAGUAUUAACUUGCCACUUAUCCUACUGCAUGCAUCCCUGUGAGCUUCUGUUCAGAAAAACUAUAUGAUUUUUGACCUCACAUGCUGUUUCGCAUUGUUCUUCGCAGAGUUUUUGGCUCUUAACAAAUUCCUUCAGAAGGUAUGUGGCUCUCUACUUGGACCUGUUGCACAUUUAGGAAUUAGGAUUACUCACUGAUACGAGCAUUUUCUGUAACUUUGUUGAAUGAUUCAAGGUAAUACUGCAAUUUUUCUUUUUCAUAAUCAACAAUGCAUGGUGUGCCUCAUAUGAACGAGUAAUUGCCUGUGAGAAUGUUAUUUAAGCUUCAGUUAUACAAAGAAAAUGGCCUUCUAUGCUGCACCGAAGUCAUAAAUUACAAUGCAUGGGUAUAUCUGAUAUUAAUGAACUCCAUUGUAAUGCAUCCCUUCCUGACGUGAACGGCCGCUUUCUUGGAAGCUAACUGCAAGCUUCUCGUUUGACUCUUCUUGCUUUUAUUUUCCUAUCCUUUUCACUUUUCAGGUGCAGAGUGUCUUCUCCACCCUACAAAGGGGUCGUGGAUUUCUCAGUCUUGAGGAGGUGUACGAGUGCGAACCGUUCAUGGAGACCAAAAGAAAAAAAAGGAUGUUAACAGUGAAGUGCGAACUGUUCACCAAUCAACCCUUAUUUCGUCAC